CAGCAGCCGCGGGAAUACAGAGGGUGCAAGCGUUAAUCGGAAUUACUGGGCGUAAAGCGCGCGUAGGUGGUUCGCCAAGUUGGAUGUGAAAUCCCCGGGCUCAACCUGGGAACUGCAUCCAAAACUGGCGAGCUAGAGUAUGGUAGAGGGUGGUGGAAUUUCCUGUGUAGCGGUGAAAUGCGUAGAUAUAGGAAGGAACAUCAGUGGCGAAGGCGACCACCUGGACUGAUACUGACACUGAGGUGCGAAAGCGUGGGGAGCAAACAGGAUUAGAUACCCGAGUAGUCCCUGUCUCUUAUAC
rnacentral:rRNA from 1 species